GGAUAACCUACCCUUAGGACUGGGAUAACCUUGGGAAACUGAGGAUAAUACCGGAUAGGCAAUUUUUCCUGUAAUGGUUCUUUGUUUAAAUGUUUUUUCGCCUAAGGAUGGGUCUGCGGCCGAUUAGGUAGUUGGUUAGGUAAUGGCUUACCAAGCCGUUGAUCGGUACGGGUUGUGAGAGCAAGAGCCCGGAGAUGGAACCUGAGACAAGGUUCCAGGCCCUACGGGGCGCAGCAGGCGCGAAACCUCCACAAUGUGAGAAAUCGCGAUGGGGGGAUCCCAAGUGCCAUUCUGAAAGGGAUGGCUUUUCAUUAGUGUAAAAAGCUUUUGGAAUAAGAGCUGGGCAAGACCGGUGCCAGCCGCCGCGGUAACACCGGCAGCUCUAGUGGUAGCAACUUUUAUUGGGCCUAAAGCGUCCGUAGCCGGUUUAAUAAGUCUCUGGUGAAAUCCUGUAGCUUAACUGUGGGAAUUGCUGGAGAUACUAUUAGACUUGAGACCGGGAGAGGUUGGAGGUACUCCCAGGGUAGAGGUGAAAUUCUGUAAUCCUGGGAGGACCGCCUGUUGCGAAGGCGUCUAACUGGAACGGUUCUGACGGUGAGGGACGAAAGUUAGGGGCGCGAACCGGAUUAGAUACCCGGGUAGUCCUAACUGUAAACGAUGCGGACUUGGUGUUGGGGUGGCUUUGAGCUGUCCCAGUGCCGAAGGGAAGCUGUUAAGUCCGCCGCCUGGGAAGUACGGUCGCAAGACUGAAACUU
rnacentral:rRNA from 1 species